CAACUUUUCAUCACUUGAAGCCUUGAUAGCUAAGAUUCAUGAGGACAGGAAGAUUGCAGAAAGAGCUCUCGAACUUCCUCAAUACUUGAAGUACAAGGACGAUCCAUACCUUAAAAUCUCUUUGCAUCAGGACAAUUGAUCAUUGAAGAUUGUUGGAAUUCAUUGUUGUUUCUGAUUGGGAUUGCAUCUGCCCUGUUUCCUGGUGCAGUCAGAAUUAUAGCAGAAGAAUUUCCGUCAAUUGCAUGGCAUUCUAUAUACCAAAAAAAAAUAUGUAAUAAUUGACUUUAUAACUAUUCAGAAUAAUAUUAGUAGUGUUUAUAAAGUGGGUUAAGCAUUGUCGAUGCUUAAGGGUCGAAGUGCUGUAUCCUUGGACUGAGAAGUUCAAGUUAUGGUGUCAUCUAAGUGUCCAUUUGGUUCACAAAAUAGACUUACUAAUGUAAUUUUCUUGAUUUCUGCUUAUGACAGAAGUACUUGUGGUUGUGAUUUUGCAUUUUGAAGAAAUGAGUGGACUUCACAUUGAGGCAUUUGCAUUGUUUCCUUUUAGACACAGCCCAAAUUCUGAAUAUGCUGAAAUGAAGAUUUUAGCACCUGUAGCUGGAGAUGACCAGCCUGGUAAUCACUCUUGGAAGAAAAGAACUGUAAGUCAUCUCUCACUGCCAAUAUUUCUUGCCUAUGGAGCUUUUGUGGGGGGGAAUCAAUUAAAAUGCAUGGUGUCAAUAGGAGGAAUCUGUUGCUCCUUAUGCCACCUUUCUGGUUUGAGUGUAUUGAAAUUAAUAAAGGAAUGGGAGGUGUUGCAUGUUAGAAUGACAAAGUAAAAGCUAGUUGUGCGCGAUGUCAUUGUUUGUAAUAUUAUGUUAAAUGAAUGUCCGUUGUUUGUUAAAAAGUGUCUUAGGAUUUACUUAAGCUUUGAAGUUAAUCAAUAUGACGUUCUAUAAGUAGCGUAAGAGUUGCUGAAUGUUGCCUCAACCACGACCAGUUUGUGCCAAUAGAGCUCCCUUUUUCUAUUGGAAGCAAGGCUGUGAGUGAGUCAAACCUGCUUGUGAGCUAAUUAAGCCUGUCUUAGCUUAUAACUGUUCAAGCUGGAGCUAGCUCAGUUGACCAAACGAGCCAAUCUGUGGCACAUAAAUGUUCAAUACGCUAAGCUUAUGUAUUUUUUGCUUUCUCAUACUUAUAUUGACUAUAUUAACAUGCUGGUUUAAUCCCAAUAGAGUCUUUAUGCUGGAGAUUUAUAAUACCACUGUUACCUUUCUCAAAAAAAUAUGCUGGUUUAACUAUAAAUUUCCACGGCAUUUGAUUUUUUUAAUAUGCGAGUUUAAAGGAGUGCACCAUUCUUCUAUUAACUAUUUAAAGUAAUCAAUCAGUGACCAGCCUUAGAUAGGAGGGUAUAGAGGUCAAAGAUUAGGGUAGAAGGUUUGUAGGUAGCCGAGCGUUUUCUCUUUGUCUUACUCAGUUCGCUAGCAUUAGUGUUAGUAUGAUAUCUUUUUAUUCAUAGAUUGCUAUUAUUAUCUAGAGUUUCACUGCAUUCUUGGAUUCGAUCUUAUUUUAUCUUGCUGUUAUUCUUACUUGUUGCAAGUACCUUUUUAUUUUCCGCUGUUCUCUAGCUGAGGGUCUAUCGGAAACCUCUCUGCCCUUCCGGGGUUAGGGGUAAGACUGCGUACAUCUUACCCCCCAGACCCCACUUGUGGAAAACUACUGGAUUUGUUGUUGUUGUUGUUGUAAUCACCAGAGGUUUGUUUAAAUUACCAUUUAUUGACAAAUAUUUUGGAAUGAA